UUAAACAGAUGAUGAAACGAACAAAUCUUAGGACACCUUCUGACACAGCGCCAAACUGUGUAUGAGAAAUGAUUUUCGUUUCUGAUGUUUCU